rnacentral:rRNA from 1 species
CCUACGGGAGACAGCAGUGAGGAAUAUUGGUCAAUGGACGAGAGUCUGAACCAGCCAAGUAGCGUUAAGGAUGACUGCCCUAUGGGUUGUAAACUUCUUUUAUAUGGGAAUAAAAUGUUCCACGUGUGGGAUUUUGUAUGUACCAUAUGAAUAAGUAUCGGCUAACUCCGUGCCAGCAGCCGCGGUAAUACGGAGGAUCCGAGCGUUAUCCGGAUUUAUUGGGUUAAAAGGGAGCGUAGGGGAUUGUUAAGUCAGUUGUGAAAGUUUGCGGCUCAACCGUAAAAUUGCAGUUGAAACUGGCAGUCUUGAGGACAGUAGAGGUGGGCGGAAUUCGUGGUGUAGCGGUGAAAUGCUUAGAUAUCACGAAGAACUCCGAUUGCGAAGGCAGUUCACUGGACUGCAACUGACACUGAGGCUCGAAAGUGUGGGUAUCAAACAGGAUUAGAUACCCCAGUAGUC